GACGAACGCUGGCGGCGUGCCUAAUACAUGCAAGUCGAGCGAAGUUUUUCUGGUGCUUGCACUAGAAAAACUUAGCGGCGAACGGGUGAGUAACACGUAAAGAACCUGCCUCAUAGACUGGGACAACUAUUGGAAACGAUAGCUAAUACCGGAUAACAGUAUUUCUCGCAUGAGAGAUAUUUAAAAGUUGGUUAUGCUAACACUAUGAGAUGGCUUUGCGGUGCGUUAGCUAGUUGGCGGGGUAAAGGCCCACCAAGGCGACGAUGCAUAGCCGACCUGAGAGGGUGAUCGGCCACACUGGGACUGAGACACGGCCCAGACUCCUACGGGAGGCAGCAGUAGGGAAUCUUCCGCAAUGGGCGAAAGCCUGACGGAGCAACGCCGCGUGAGUGAAGAAGGAUUUCGGUUCGUAAAGCUCUGUUGUUAGGGAAGAAUGGAUAUGUAGUAACUAUACAUGUAAGAGACGGUACCUAACCAGAAAGCCACGGCUAACUACGUG
rnacentral:rRNA from 1 species